GGGCGGCGGCGGCUUACCAUGCAAGUCGAGCGGGGGAAGGUAGCUUGCUACCGGACCUAGCGGCGGACGGGUGAGUAAUGCUUAGGAAUCUGCCUAUUAGUGGGGGACAACAUCUCGAAAGGGAUGCUAAUACCGCAUACGUCCUACGGGAGAAAGCAGGGGAUCUUCGGACCUUGCGCUAAUAGAUGAGCCUAAGUCGGAUUAGCUAGUUGGUGGGGUAAAGGCCUACCAAGGCGACGAUCUGUAGCGGGUCUGAGAGGAUGAUCCGCCACACUGGGACUGAGACACGGCCCAGACUCCUACGGGAGGCAGCAGUGGGGAAUAUUGGACAAUGGGGGGAACCCUGAUCCAGCCAUGCCGCGUGUGUGAAGAAGGCCUUAUGGUUGUAAAGCACUUUAAGCGAGGAGGAGGCUACUUUAGUUAAUACCUAGAGAUAGUGGACGUUACUCGCAGAAUAAGCACCGGCUAACUCUGUGCCAGCAGCCGCGGUAAUACAGAGGGUGCGAGCGUUAAUCGGAUUUACUGGGCGUAAAGCGUGCGUAGGCGGCUUAUUAAGUCGGAUGUGAAAUCCCCGAGCUUAACUUGGGAAUUGCAUUCGAUACUGGUGAGCUAGAGUAUGGGAGAGGAUGGUAGAAUUCCAGGUGUAGCGGUGAAAUGCGUAGAGAUCUGGAGGAAUACCGAUGGCGAAGGCAGCCAUCUGGCCUAAUACUGACGCUGAGGUACGAAAGCAUGGGGAGCAAACAGGAUUAGAUACCCUGGUAGUCCAUGCCGUAAACGAUGUCUACUAGCCGUUGGGGCCUUUGAGGCUUUAGUGGCGCAGCUAACGCGAUAAGUAGACCGCCUGGGGAGUACGGUCGCAAGACUAAAACUCAAUGAAUUGACGGGGCCCGCCAAGCGGGGAGCUGGGGUUUAUUCGAUGCACGCGAAGACCUUACUGGCCUUGAAUACUAGAACUUUCCAAAAUGGAUGGUGCUUCGGGAUCUAG
rnacentral:rRNA from 1 species